UACAGAGGUCCCGAGCGUUGUUCGGAUUCACUGGGCGUAAAGGGUGCGUAGGUGGCAUGGUAAGUUUGAUGUGAAAGCUCAGGGCUCAACCCUGAAAUGGCAUUGAAUACUACUGUGCUGGAGGUUUGGAGGGGGGACUGGAAUUCUUGGUGUAGCAGUGAAAUGCGUAGAUAUCGGGAGGAACACCUAUGGCGAAGGCAGCUCGCUGGGACGUUACUGACGCUGAGACGCGAAAGCGUGGGGAGCAAACAGG
rnacentral:rRNA from 1 species